UACGAAGGGGGCUAGCGUUGCUCGGAAUCACUGGGCGUAAAGCGCACGUAGGCGGCUUUCUAAGUCAGGGGUGAAAUCCUGGAGCUCAACUCCAGAACUGCCUUUGAUACCGGGAAGCUCGAGUCCGGAAGAGGUGAGUGGAACUCCGAGUGUAGAGGUGAAAUUCGUAGAUAUUCGGAAGAACACCAGUGGCGAAGGCGGCUCACUGGUCCGGUACUGACGCUGAGGUGCGAAAGCGUGGGGAGCAAACAGG
rnacentral:rRNA from 1 species